GCCCUGGCGUAGCGGUUUGAGUAUUGGACUAUGACUCUGGAGUCCACGGUUCAAUUCCCUGCUCGGCU